UACGUAGGGUCCAAGCGUUAAUCGGAAUUACUGGGCGUAAAGCGUGCGCAGGCGGUUGUGUAAGCCAGAUGUGAAAUCCCCGGGCUUAACCUGGGAAUGGCAUUUGGGACUGCACAGCUAGAGUACGGCAGAGGGGACUAGAAUUCCUGGUGUAGCAGUGAAAUGCGUAGAUAUCAGGAGGAAUACCGAUGGCGAAGGCAGGUCCCUGGGUCGAUACUGACGCUCAUGCACGAAAGCGUGGGGAGCAAACAGG
rnacentral:rRNA from 1 species